CCUUCGGGUUGUAAACUUCUUUCGCCCGGGACGAUAAUGACGGUACCUGUAGAAGAAGCUCCGGCUAACUCCGUGCCAGCAGCCGCGGUAAUACUUAGGGGGCGAGCGUUGUUCGGAAUUACUGGGCGUAAAGGGUGUGUAAGCGGUGCUCUAAGUUUCGUGUGAAAUCUCCGGGCUUAACUGGGAGGGUGCGCCCGAAACUGGAAUGCUGGAGUGUGGGAGAGGAAAGUGGAAUUCCCGGUGUAGCGGUGAAAUGCGUAUAUAUCGGGAGGAACACCUGUGGCGAAAGCGGCUCUCUGGACCAUUACUGACGCUGAGGCGCGAAAGCUUGGGGAGCAAACAGGAUUAGAUACCCUGGUAGUCC
rnacentral:rRNA from 1 species